GGCAGGAGCGGCUAAAUCAUCUUGAAGCCCAAAGCAACAACUUUCUGCAGUUGACACAGUGCCCUCUCAAGCAGCAACUACAGCAAGCUGUGUCACAAGCAAAGCCUUCUGGCUAUUCAGUCUCCACCGGGAAAGUUCUCCUGCUACACUAUUUGAUUUGAACGGCUAAUGUAAG